rnacentral:rRNA from 1 species
CCUACGGGAGGCAGCAGUGAGGAAUAUUGGUCAAUGGGCGGAAGCCUGAACCAGCCAAGCCGCGUGCAGGAUGAAGGCGCCAAGCGUCGUAAACUUCUUUUAUCCGGGAACAAAGGGCCCCACGUGUAUCGUUGUGCAUGUACCGGACGAAUAAGCAUCGGCUAACUCCGUGCCAGCAGCCGCGGUAAUACGGAGGGUCCGGGCGUUAUCCGGAUUUAUUGGGUUUACAGGGUGCGUAGGCCGUCUGUAAAGUGCGCUGUUAAAGGCCCGGGCUCAACCCCGGCCAAGCAGUGGAAACUGGCGGACUAGAGACCGCGAGAAGUACGCGGAAUGCGUGGUGUAGCGGUGAAAUGCAUAGAUAUGGCGCAGAACUCCGAUUGCGAAGGCAGCGUACCGCCGCGGGACUGACGCUGAUGCACGAAAGCGUGGGUAUCGAACAGGAUUAGAUACCCGUGUAGUC